rnacentral:rRNA from 1 species
UACGGAGGGUGCGAGCGUUAAUCGGAAUUACUGGGCGUAAAGCGCACGUAGGCGGUUUGUUAAGUCGGAUGUGAAAUCCCCGGGCUCAACCUGGGUGCUGCAUUCGAUACUGGCAGACUCGAGUAUGGUAGAGGGGGGUGGAAUUCCAGGUGUAGCGGUGAAAUGCGUAGAUAGCUGGAGGAACACCAGUGGCGAAGGCGGCCCCCUGGACCAAUACUGACGCUGAGGUGCGAAAGCGUGGGGAGCAAACAGG